GACGAACGCUGGCGGCGUGCCUAACACAUGCAAGUCGAACGAGAAUCGGAAGAAGUGGAAGUCUACGGACGGAAGGGGAAAGCCGAGGACAGUGGCGGACGGGCGAGUAACGCGUGAGUAACCUGCCCAUAAGAGAGGGAUAGCCUAUGGAAACGUGGAGUAAUACCUCAUGAAGUAUGGAGACCGCAUGGUUUUGAUAUGAAAGUGAGUAAGCGCUUAUGGAUGGACUCGCGUCAGAUUAGUUAGUUGGUGAGGUAACGGCUCACCAAGGCGACGAUCUGUAGCCGAACUGAGAGGUUGAACGGUCGCAUUGGGACUGAGACACGGCCCAGACUCCUACGGGAGGCAGCAGUGGGGGAUAUUGCGCAAUGGGGGGAACCCUGACGCAGCAACGCCGCGUGCAGGAAGAAGGUUUUCGGAUUGUAAACUGCUGACGCAGGGGAAGAAAAGAAUGACGGUACCCUGAGAGAAAGUCACGGCUAACUACGUGCCAGCAGCCGCCGUAAUAC
rnacentral:rRNA from 1 species